AUUGAACGCUGGCGGCAGGCUUAACACAUGCAAGUCGAGCGGAGCGAGGGUGCUUGCACCUUAGCUUAGCGGCGGACGGGUGAGUAAUGCUUAGGAAUCUGCCUAUUAGUGGGGGACGACAUUCCGAAAGGAAUGCUAAUACCGCAUACGCACUACGGGGGAAAGCAGGGGAUCUUCGGACCUUGCGCUAAUAGAUGAGCCUAAGUCGGAUUAGCUAGUUGGUGGGGUAAAGGCCUACCAAGGCGACGAUCUGUAGCGGGUCUGAGAGGAUGAUCCGCCACACUGGGACUGAGACACGGCCCAGACUCCUACGGGAGGCAGCAGUGGGGAAUAUUGGACAAUGGGCGGAAGCCUGAUCCAGCCAUGCCGCGUGUGUGAAGAAGGCCUUUUGGUUGUAAAGCACUUUAAGCGAGGAGGAGGCUCUUAAGGUUAAUACCCUUGAUGAGUGGACGUUACUCGCAGAAUAAGCACCGGCUAACUCUGUGCCAGCCGCCGCAGUAAGAC
rnacentral:rRNA from 1 species